UGCAGUCUGCAACUCGAGUGCAUGAAGCUGGAAUCGCUAGUAAUCGCGAAUCAGAAUGUCGCGGUGAAUACGUUCCCGGGUCUUGUACACACCGCCCGUCACACCAUGGGAGCCGACAACCGCCCGAAGUCAGUGACCUAACCGAGGAGGGAGGAGCUGCCGAAGGCGGGGUUGGUAACUGGGGUGAAGUCGUAACAAGGUAAC
rnacentral:rRNA from 1 species